UAGACAUUUUUUUCAAGCAAAACCUAGUUCCAGGAGCAUGGGAAAUUGCCCUAAAUUUACAUUCAUACACUGUGGAGGACAAAAACCUGAUCCUAUACAAUAAAUCAUUUUCCCUUUCAUUUCAAUAUGGAACCGCAUGACAGCACACUGGGGAAAAUGGAAAUGUAAUGGUAUCACAGCUGCUCAUGGGCACAUUAGCAGGAGGACAAACCCAAGAUAAUAUUGAGUUCAGAAGUUCAGAUCCAGCACAGGGUUAUAAAAAUUGAAUUACAACCUUUGCUGGACUCGAAUCCUUGGAGCAACUGUUCUCCUGACACACACACACAAAUGGCGUCUUCCUACAGUAGAAUUACUGGGGUGCUUAAAAUGACAACUUUCAAGUGUGAAUAUUUCUGCCCUUCCCUUGCUACCUUCAGUAAUUUCUCAUGAGACCCACGACCUUGUUCUUUCUCUGGUAUUUAUGGAAGUUGCAAACCAACAGAACACCAGUUUUGGAAUACUUUUAAAUCCUGUUUUGUAGCAUAAUGGAAAUGUCAUAGCAAUAGUCCAAUGCAUGCACACAUAUUAAUAGCUUUUUUGGCAGGAAUAAAAAAGUUUUGGGGCUGACAGACUGCCCCAAAAGCACCACCUCAGCCACGGUAAGGCUUUGGGAUGGUUUUCAAACUCCUAAGGGUAGUUGUAGGAAAUGGAGCUCCCUGGGGCCUGAUGCCCACCACUCAUGCUCCCCAGUUCAAAGCAAGCAGAGCCACAACAGGACUUCUCCCUGAUUUUUGUUUUAAUUGCUGAUCCUGAAUUUCUUUGCUGUUUUAAUUCAAAGCAGAGCCUGCAGCAGGAAGAAGGUGUGGGGAGAGGACUAGGGUCACUCAUGUAUCUACUGGGGGGCUCCUGCCCACUGCAGCUGAAACCAUAGAAGCUUUUGUGGGACAGCAAAGGAACAGAUCCAUAGGGAAAGGCCAAGGGAGACACUGAAGUAAUUUAGCAAAAUGUGGGUUUGUGGCUGUGACUUACUGCUGUGCUCCUUUCUGACAAUGAUCCAAGGCAACUGUCAAGUGAGCAGAGGAUGUGUACUGAAGAGAUUUAUUGACUUGUGUGGCCUCAAAAAGACCUAGUUGGUGCUGUGUUCAGUGGGUCUCUAAUUUGUUUUCACUUGCUAUUUUCCUAACAAGAUUUUUUCUCUCUCUCUCACUCUCUCUUUGUCUCUCUCUCACACACUCUCUCACUCCAUCUAUCUUUUCCAUUUGAGAACCUAAAAUUAGGCUUUUAAAUCUCAAUGUAUGGUUGCCAAACAUUGCAGUAGAUUUGGCAACACUUGGACAAUUACUGAAUUCCUUGUUGCAGUGAGCAUCUCUGCAACUGCAGUAUGACAAUAUAUUAUAAAACAAUGGAUUUCAUAGCAACAACGAACUCCAUGCCAAUCCAGGGAAAUGAGCUGAAUGCAACAUCUACCACGCCUCUGCCUCACAGGAGAUAUCCAUCAUAACUUAGCCAAAAGCACUGCAACACUUACAUGUCAUCGUGAUUUAGCAAAAACAGUCAAACAAAAGAGCUACUGAAAUAAAGUUACUGAAAUAUGCUUCCUUCAACAUACCUUGCACAAUAUUUCUCCUCCCAAAUUUAUGUUUCUUUUCUCAUCUUUAGGAAUCACUAGAACUACAGUUCCCCUUUUUUAACCUAGGGUCACUCUAUUUCUUACUCUUUUGGUUGGCCCACCAUGGUCUCAUGCCGUUCCAGCAGCAUUUCACUGCAAUCAAAAUCUGUGUACCAAUUUGUACUAUGCAUUUCCUUUUCCUUCAUGCCUAGAUUUUACUAAAACACUUCUAUACUUACACAGUCAUUUACAACAAACUAAAAAAAAAAAGACACUUCAAAACUUACUUCUUUCCAGAAGGGAAGGAAAUAGGUUUUGCUACUGUUUCAUUUAUAGGAUCCCCUUAGGGGCUUGCAUACAUAUGUUUUGCUGCAGGUUUACUGCAUUGCCUGUGAUUUCCACUCAAAGGGCUCUAGAACAAACAAAAAUCAUAAUCUUUUCCCCCCAUCUAUUUUAAACAAUAUCAGAGAGUAGAGAAGAACCCUCAUUUGUCUUUUUUAAAAUGAUAUUUUAAUUACUCAUGUCAUGCCUCAGCAAAAUGGCAAGCCUUUUGUUAAAAUGGGGCUUAAUUGCAUUACGAAGCCUUCAUGGGACCCUUGCACAUAAAGCGCUUUUCUUCAGACUUUCAAGACCUAAAUUUGCAGUUGGCUCCUGACCAGCGCACUCGAGCAGAUAGGCACGUAGGUAGCGGGCAGACCCCGUGUUGAUGAAGUAAUCAUAAUUGACUGCCUCGCAUGUGCUAGUCCACAAACUUGCCCGCAAACAAAAAUUGCAUCUGUGUGUUGGUUUUCAUUUUGAAUUCAUUCAGAAAAAAAAGAACAAAAAACAACCUAAUCUAAAAAAACCCCAGCCCUUAGUAUGUCAGAAAGCAGGAAGACACCUUCACGGACUGUUGGCUACGCCUCAGCAAAGCUUCACAACAAUCUGUUAGACAAAAAAGAGACUGAUGCAGAUACCUUAAUAAGCAUCCCAUCUGUGAGGUCAUCGGGAUGUUUCAAACAACUUUCAGCUCUCAUUAGUUUAGUGGACUCCACAAGCAUGUCCUUAUCUUUUGUAACUUUUGCAGCCAAACUUCCUGGGAAAGCCUCUGAGCUGGGUGACAUUCCAACCCAUGGGUCAGUCUGCAGUAAUGAGCCACCAAUUUAUGUGUCCUUUGCACUCGCAGGCCGUAUAUGUUUAUGUUAACCUUUAUGUUGAGAAUUUUUUCCUUUAUCCGUGUAAUUCUCCGGGUUCUACCAUGCAAAUCUCAUUUUUUCUAAUAGGCUGCAAUUAGGAUAUCCAAGCUGUUGAUCACAGUCAUUUGCAACACUGAUGGGCAUUUUCCAAGAACAAAUGCUUUUUUUUUUUUUUUUUUUUACUAUAUUAGUGAUGGAAUGUGUAACAGAGAUUAUGCCUGAAAAGUAAUAGUGACCAGUGGAGUUGCAGGCUCAUGGGAAUCCUUACCAGUUCUCUGGUUUUGUAUUUCAAUUAACACAGGAGGUAUAGCACAGUCUAUUGCUUCUCAUAAAAUACACUAUGCAUGACGUUGCACGGAAAUGAGAUUUACAAUUUUUCAAGUCUGCUAGGCCUGAAUGAGUGAAAGGGUAUUUAUUACAAUUUCUUACAGUUUUAUGCACUUGAAAGGGAUAAAGCAGGUUCAUCAGCACUUGCCCACAUGUUAGGUCUUCACUGCACUAAUGAGUACCCCUUUAAAGGGGAUGUUGUAAUGCUAUUUUCUUUUCUAAGAACUCCCGUGUCCGUAUUCAGAAUUUGUUGGACUGAACCAUUCUGCUACUUAAGGUACAAGAGGAUAACAUCCACAGUCCUUAUUCAGAUCUUUCUUCAGCUGCUGCUGUUUUCUGAGUUUUUGCAUGAAGGACAUGGGUGGAAAAAGAGAACUGGUGAAACACUGAUAACAGAUGGAUGCAGUAUGAAGAAGUAAGAAGAGACGCCACAGAAUGUUUGUCUGCAGGACCAUAAAAGAUGUGAAGUUGAAGAUAGUAUCCUGUAGGCAGGUGGAACACCACCUCUGGCAACAUCCAAAUAGUCUGAAACAAUCAAGCAUCAAAUUUCUUUCAGCAACCUGUAUGGAUGUACAGGGAGAAGUGAUCUCACUGAAGUGAAUGGGAUGAAACACCGCUCAAAGGCUACAGAUAUGAAAUGACUGAAAAACUGAAGACUGCCAUGAAUGGGUCAUACCACGUGGGAUAAAGCUUGCUCACAGCUAUUUUGAAUGAUAAAAGAUAUGCCAGUGAAGUACCAGAGACAUUUGCUGAAGAGAUGGGAUGGACAGAUACUGAAGGAAAGAAAUUAAAGAUAAUUUUGAUGAAGAAGAUGAUCCUACUGUAUACUCUACCCAAAUAAACACUACUGUAUUUUUUCAAGCAUCAAAAUAGACUUGCUGGGAGAUGAGAAUGAGAAGUCAGAAAUGAAUGAAGUGUUUUCCAAGAUGAUAAAAAAUCGCUUCUGCUAAAGUAGAAUAGCUGCUCCUGGGGACACAUAAACCCCUGUGUCAUUCCCAUGGAAACGGGGAACACUUUUAAUUAUCACAACAUUGUUAUGAUAAAAACACUAAUAAAAGCAAUGUAAAUCAAAGAGAGAGACACAUCCACGUAUUUAACUAUUACAACUUCUUCACAUUGCAUUUAUUCAACUUUUUUCAUUAGUUCACAAGAUCUUGCUUCAGGACAUACAAUAUUGAAAUAAAGUCCUUCCUGCUUGGAAAAGGCACAAGCUAAUACAAAUAGAAAUUCUAGAGUGAUGUGUCACAAGAUUUAUCUUUAAAAAAAUGAAAUAUUUUUGUUCUACUCACUUGUAAUUUUUUGAGUACUCUGUCCAGUUUUAGAGCAACAUAGGAGAAUAGCAAGGCAUCUGGAAAAAAAAAAGAACAAGAAUCACCAUAACUCUGGGAGCUCUAAUUUACAAUGUUGUGUGCUCUAUCUAAAGAAAACUAAGGGGAGACAGCAUGUCAGACUUCAAAUGUAUUCAAGGCUGCAGACAGAAGAACUUAUUCACUGGAUCUUUAAGGAAUAAAAAGUGAUGUGUCUGAACUGCAAGAAGGAAACCUGCAGCAUGACAUUUGGCAAAGGGCAACAAAGCCCCAGAUGUACUGUCAAAGGACAGAGUGGGAUCUCCAGAGGGAAGGGUUUUCAGGAGAGCUCACACACACAUCUGUUGGAAGCAUUAAGGCACAUUUGAUCCAGGUUUGGCAGCAACAGGGUGGUCUGUGUUAUCCUUGGAGAUUCUCCUCAGCCCUCCAUGGCUCCAGACCUGUAAUUCUUCUUCUUGGCAAUUUCCAGCUGUAGUUUUCAGCCACUUGACCCCCUAGGCUGCUCGCUCCACCUUGUGCACGGGGACACAAAGCCAAGGAACAAGGGAUCCCAUCCUGUGUGCUCUGGAUGCUCACGCACGCGUUGCUGGUACUGUGAGACCUGCACCUGCAGCCAAGGUGUGUUUCCAGGUCUCAGCAGGUGAGCCAUGCACGGGUUUCCUCUCCCAUGAGCCAGGGCAUGGCCACAUCCACAGCAGAAUUGGAGUCCUUUGUCCCAGGUGACAACCUGACAGGUGUGACAGAGCACGCUCUCCCUGGCCACAUGUGGAGUUGACUGUGUUUUGCCACAAUUAUUUUCCUUCUAUUUUCGCUGUUUUAAAUCUGUGCUUUGCUGACAGAUUUCCCAAAGGAGUUUAUAAAAGGUGCCGAGAAAAUGUUUUAAGUAGGGUGAGCCAGUAUUAUCAGCCAGCCUCAGCACUUGGCAUUAAAUGGAAGUGAGUGUGGUGCCUAGCUCAUAUUAAUACAGGUCUGACAUGUCAAAACAAGGUUUGGGAAUCAGCAGAAGCAGGUGCAUGUAUUUAUUCCUCCUGAUAUCGAAGACGUUGGGAUUUUUUCUCACAUUUUCUCAGUAAGAUGAAAAAAUCUGUCAAAUGUUAUCCAUCCUUGGAAACACUUAGCAAGGUUAUGCCUGAAUGUAAAAAGAUACUAGGUAUGAAAAGUAAUUCCAGACAGAACUAUGAAAAAGGAGCAUGAAUCUGGAGAUAAAAUACAGAACAGAAGUAAUUAAAAUUGCUUUUAUUUCCAAACAAGUAAAAAAUGUCAGGGAUGGCCUCUGGAAAGUCCCUAAUCAUGUUGUUUCACUGUUUUGCUCUCUAAAAUGGAAUUUUAUUAAUUACCCACCUCACAAGUGUGCUGUAGUGCUGUGCUUAGGAAUGAUUGCGAAAGGGUCUGUGAUUAGCUGGCAAAAAAAUGUUGUUCACAUAAUUAUCUCUAUGAUCUGUGCACAUUUAUGCAAAUACAUCUGUGUCCCCAGGUGAUUUAUUUCAGAUGCUGGCUGGAAUUUAGAUGUAAGUAACUCCUUACACUUAAAUUGUUCUUCAAUAGUUAGUACAAUGGAUUGACAGAGUUACUUAUACUUAUUACAAACUGGUUUACUGUAUAAUCUGGACAGUUGCCUAAUCUUAAGUUGACACCAAAUAGGGAAGAGCCCAGUAAAAAUUUGUCCUGUAAUGUGUAACAAGGAUGCUGCAGAGCAAAAUAUAUUGAGGAGGCGUCCAUAAAAAUCACAGGAAGCAACACUUUUUAAAAUGUCCAAUGUUGGCUUAAUAAAGAGAAUCCAUGUACUUACUUGUUGAAAUAAUGAUUUCAGCUGACCUUGAUGGAAGAGUAAGAAUUAUGCUCCACAGAGAACAAGUCAGGCAACAACUCAGUAAUACACCUCCACAAGCCAAGCUUAUUUGGAAUAUAUAUCUAAAAUAUCUGGGCUUGUAAAACUGCCACAAACUUGCUCUGUCGGUUCAGAUUGCUCCAGACUGUUCUAAAGAUACACGGUCACCUGUGCAGAGGUAAUGCCAGACUAGAUAGGAUCUCUUUUCAGGUUGCUCUUAUGGGUAUCACAUCUUAUGCAGCAGGUAUAAAGUGUAGAAACUGUGAUAGGACAAGUUUGUUGUGUCAGAUGAUCUGAUAGCACAUAGAGGUGGCAUUACUGUGCAUCCAUGGAUCCCACAGCUCAGCAUGCUGGGAGAUGGCUGGCCAGAGAGGAGUGUGCAUGCUGUGUGCUGCUUUGGCUUCCAACAAUUAAGAGCUUGAAGGAGAGUUAAAUGAAGGGGUUUCAGUUCUUAAUGUUACCAGAAAGGAGGAGUGCUCAUCAAGGUGAACAUUGAAAUGCAUAGUAAAAUAAUCUAACAAGACUCUUAACUAAUAGGAUAGAAAAAGCACUCAGAUGUGAGUGACAUUACCAGGACAAAGAGUCAGCUUCAGAGCCCUGCAAGAGAAAAGGUGUAUGGGCUAGCACAGAGAAGGCAGCUCCCUGGCUGCUUCCACCUCCAAUAUUUGGUAAAAGUGUAUUAAAGUGCACUACAGUGCACCAGAGCCACCACCACCCCUGCUCUGCAAAGAUACCACAGGCCAAGCAAUCCUGAAAUGAGCCACAGUUAAACUCAUUCACACCAAUCAAAACAAGCUAGAACCAAGUACAUGAUGACAACAGCAGAGAAACACUUUCCUAAUUUGCCAAAACCUCCAAUGGGGAGCCUUUCCCCGUGCUGUCUCGGUACCAAGUUUUUCUAUGUUCAGAUCUUGUGUGGUGAUCAUGGAAGUUUUGGUUAGACAUGCGUAAGAGCUAGAAAAAAACAGCUUUGGCCCUCAUUACCUUUUAAGAUAUCCACUUAACUACUGAAGUCUUUAUCAGCCUAAGCAAGGCAAAGGGUUUCCAUCUCUUAAACAUUGCUACAGGUGUCUCUUGAAUACAGUGCUUUGAUUAAUUAACUUGACAAAGUUCCCUGAUGCUUAUGCAGAGGCUGCCUUCUCAGGCAAGGCUGCCAUUCAGGGACAUGAGUAUUAAAACUACUGACUAUCAGAUAGGCACCAUGAACCAAUAUCAUUUGUAUCUCGUUCUCUGCACCGCUAUUACUUCAUCAGUUUGGUGUCCAGUCUUCUCUGCAGCAUACCCAAAUCCCUUGAGAUACUGAGCUUGUUUCCCAUGUUUGCAGCCUGCUGAAGCCUUCGUCUCUAACUCGAAUCAAUCUGAAAAUAAUGACUUAAAUCAAAUGGUCUAUCAUGUCUCUUGAUUGGAAGAACUUUAAAGAAAAUGUUAUGCUGCACAAUUCAGUGAGAUAAUGUGGAAAAUAUUGAGUUUGUCAAGAUUUUUCAAAACCUGUUGCCAUGCCAUGUUUAUUAUAAGCCUAGCAUGACUGGCAUGAUCACUUUUUCCACGGGCAGUAUAUAAACAGUGGUCACACCUACUGAACUACUUGUACCUCCCUCCUCUCUCUCUCCUGACCUAUGCACUCUUUUGGGAGUGACUUCCCACUUACCUCCACAGCAGUAAGUGCCAUGCUGGCAGAGCUCUGCCCACUUUGGAAACUGCAGCAGAUUGUUACUGCCACCCUAUUUUACCCUUGUAUUGUUUCAGACUUGGCAUCCAUUUCUGUGAUCCUUAUGCAGCUGAAGAUGACAGUAACUGGUUUGUCCUCCUAAUCUGAUGUCAAGUUUCCUAUCUGGGAAUUUAGAAUUUUCUGAAGACAGAAGAUGUAACUCAUGCUCCAGCAGCCACAGCUUUGCAACCUGACCAAAUGCAAAUGCUGAGUCAGAUAUCCUGAACUAAUCUCAAUCACUCUACUUUCAUCUACUUUUUAUCUUCAGUAGGAGUUUCUCUUGCAUGUACAAGUCAAAUGUAGGCCUGCUGCUGUUUUAAUUCUUCAUACCUGCCUCCUCACACUUCUCUUUCAAUAACAUAACCCAGGAUUACUUUAAUGAAGGAAAAGGAAAAUAUUUUACCACACUUGUCACACGCUCUUUCACAGCCUGUAUGCUGGUGGGCUUUCUUGCCCAGGGGGAAGGGAAAGGUCAAGGCACAGAAAUACCCAAGUCUUCUUCAGCUUUCGCUCCAGGACACAGUUUAUUAUCCAAACAUCAAAUUCAUAAAGUAACACAAAGCAAAGCUAUUCCCUCAUCCAAAGCCAGCUGCAGGGGCUCCCAGGCUUCCCAUGCCAGAAAAAGGGCACACAUCUUCAUCUAAGCCCCUGAUGAAUCAAGUGACAAGCAGGCAGCGUGUAACCCUUUCCUGACUGUUUAACCCUGUCGCAACAGAGUUUGCUGUUGUGAAUGCUUUAUUCCAGGGCUGGAGCAGACAGUUUCACACUCUUUCAAGUUUCUAGGUGCAAAAAACUUCAAGGUUGGUAUGGAUUUUGUUUUGGGGUUGGUUUUUUUUUUUGGGAGGGGGAGUGGGGGUGAAUU